CAAGCGGUGGAACAUGUGGUUCAAUUCGACGCAACGCGAAGAACCUUACCUGGGCUUGAACCGCUACGGACCAACGAUAAAAAUAUUGUCUUCCCGCAAGGGACCGUAGUAGAGGUGCUGCAUGGCUGUCGUCAGCUCGUGCCGUGAGGUGUUGGGUUAAGUCCCGCAACGAGCGCAACCCUUACUCGUAGUUGCUACCCGCAAGGGAGAACUCUACGAGGACUGCUCCGGAUAACGGAGAGGAAGGUGGGGAUGACGUCAAGUCAGCACGGCCUUUAUGUCCAGGGCUACACACGUGUUACAAUGCAUGGUACAGACUGUUGCGAACCCGCGAGGGGGAGCUAAUCGGCCAAAGCCAUGCUCAGUUCGGAUUGCAGUCUGCAACUCGACUGCAUGAAGCUGGAAUCGCUAGUAAUGGCGCAUCAGAUCGGCGCCGUGAAUACGUUCCCGGGCCUUGUACACACC
rnacentral:rRNA from 1 species